rnacentral:rRNA from 1 species
UACGGAGGGGGACUAGCGUUGUUCGGAAUUACUGGGCGUAAAGCGCACGUAGGCGGAUUUGUAAGUCAGGGGGUGAAAUCCCGGGGCUCAACCUCGGAACUGCCUUUGAUACUGCAAAUCUCGAGUCCGGAAGAGGUGAGUGGAAUUCCUAGUGUAGAGGUGAAAAUUCGUAGAUAUUAGGAAGAACACCAGUGGCGAAGGCGGCUCACUGGUCCGGUACUGACGCUGAGGUGCGAAAGCGUGGGGAGCAAACAGG